rnacentral:rRNA from 1 species
AUGGGGUGCAGCAGGCGCGAAAACUUUACAAUGCCGGCAACGGCGAUAAGGGAACCUCGAGUGCCAGGUUACAAAUCUGGCUGUCGUGAUGCCUAAAAAGCAUUGCAUAGCAAGGGCCGGGCAAGACCGGUGCCAGCCGCCGCGGUAAUACCGGCGGCUCGAGUGGUGGCCACUAUUACUGGGCUUAAAGCGUUCGUAGCUGGUCUGUUAAGUCUCUGGGGAAAUCUGCCGGCUUAACCGGCAGGCGUUCCAGGGAUACUGGCAGACUGGGGACCGGGAGAGGUGAGGGGUACUCCAGGGGUAGGAGUGAAAUCCUGUAAUCCUUGGGGGACCACCUGUGGCGAAGGCGCCUCACCAGAACGGCUCCGACAGUGAGGGACGAAAGCUGGGGGAGCAAACCGGAUUAGAUACCCGGGUAGUCCCAGCUGUAAACGAUGCGCGUUAGGUGUAUCGGUGACCACGAGUCACCGAGGUGCCGAAGAGAAAUCGUGAAACGUGCCGCCUGGGAAGUACGGUCGCAAGGCUGAAACUUAAAGGAAUUGGCGGGGGAGCACA